rnacentral:lncRNA from 1 species
AAUAAGUGAUUUCUCUUUGCCAAAUCUGGGUGAUAUAUCACACACAGGUUCCUCGGGUUUUCUUGAGAUAAAUUGGCUGUGCCUCUUUUUGCUCAUCUUCUUGGCUGCAAUGACUUUUGUUCCUUUGAGUGGCCACCUUUCUUCUCUCUUUAGUCGGCGGUCUAAUCGGCACUUGAGAACCAGACUUUGGCCUCUAUCCCGUGCGUUUUCCCCCCUGCUCAUUGCCCCAUUCACUAUCCCUAUUUGGCUGCCUCCGUGUGCAGCAUUUGGCCGAUUCUUAGGUUAUUCUUCUAUGAUCUUUGAGUGAAUAAUCUUGGUCCAAUUUGGGUAGUAUUGCCGUGUGAUUUUGGACCCUUGAUCUGAGCCUGGAUUCAUCCACUUUUGG